ACUAUGCCUAGUCGUAAACUUUAAUCUACUCCAACAUCGCCCGGGAACUACGAGCUAAGCUUAAAACCCAAAGGACUUGACGGUACCCCAUAUCCCCCUAGAGGAGCCUGUCCUAUAAUCGAUAACCCCCGUUUAACCUCACCAUUUUUUGCCAGUCAGCCUGUAUACCUCCGUCGUCAGCUUACCACGUGAGCGUCAGUGAGCCUAAUGUUUCUCCAACUACACGUCAGGUCAAGGUGCAACAUAUAAAAUGGGAAGAGAUGGGCUACACUUUCUACCAUAGAAUAAACGAAAGACUAAAUGAAACCUAGUCAGAAGGCGGAUUUAGCAGUAAAAUGAAACUAGAGCGUUCACUUAAAUGCGGCACUGGGGUGUGUACACAMCGCCCGUCACCC
rnacentral:rRNA from 1 species